CUCCGUGGACUCUGAGAGCCCGCCGUUUGCUCCCUCAUCCGUCAAGCCUGCCACUGCCACAUCUCGUACUCCGGGGACCUGUUUCCCUCAAAGGGCUCCUCCCAGCAAACCUGGCCGAGACGUGGCCCCUCCGUGGCCCUUUACCUUCGCCAGACCUUCGUCCUGUAGCCAGACGCGAAAGCUUGAACAGAGUCUUCCUCCUACUUGACAUCAGUCCUUGGAAAACCCUGGUCUCCGCCUCUGACCAGAGGCAGCCUCAAGUGUCUGUGCAUGCUUUGCCGAAAAGCAUAGCGAGAUUCAGGUCCCAGCUGCUGCCCUCCGGAAGCACAAGCUGCUCACCUCUAAGACUGUGCCUGUCCCCUUGGACAAUGACCCAGGGCCGGGAUUGUGACCCCUCUUUGGGCACUUCCUCUGUGUCGAAUGUGUGAAUGAUUCAUCCUGAAAACACAGUGCCCACUUCCUACCCGAA